rnacentral:rRNA from 1 species
GUGGAGAAUAUUGGACAAUGGGCGAAAGCCUGAUCCAGCCAUGCCGCGUGUGUGAAGAAGGUCUUCGGAUUGUAAAGCACUUUAAGUUGGGAGGAAGGGCAUUAACCUAAUACGUUAGUGUUUUGACGUUACCGACAGAAUAAGCACCGGCUAACUUCGUGCCAGCAGCCGCGGUAAUACGAAGGGUGCAAGCGUUAAUCGGAAUUACUGGGCGUAAAGCGCGCGUAGGUGGUUCGUUAAGUUGGAUGUGAAAGCCCCGGGCUCAACCUGGGAACUGCAUCCAAAACUGGCGAGCUAGAGUACGGUAGAGGGUGGUGGAAUUUCCUGUGUAGCGGUGAAAUGCGUAGAUAUAGGAAGGAACACCAGUGGCGAAGGCGACCACCUGGACUGAUACUGACACUGAGGUGCGAAAGCGUGGGGAGCAAACAGGAUUAGAAACCCGAGUAGUCC